rnacentral:tRNA from 1 species
GGUGGUUCGGGAGAGCGCUUGACUGGCAGUCAAGAGGUCAGCGGUUCGAUCCCGCUAUUCUCCA